rnacentral:lncRNA from 1 species
UACUCUCUUUACUAAAAGGAAAUAUUUUAAAUAUCCCUUCUAUGGUUAGCGCUUUUUCACUUUAGUAUCUUAUAGUUUAAAGUAUGUUAUUUUAGUACCAUAUGGUUGCGUUUUUCUCUUUUCGCUAUCUCCUCCUUUAACUCUUUAUUAAAAUAUAUAGAAAAAAAAACUUUAGAUAAUUCCUGUCAUUUUUCGAAUAUUUACUUUAAUAUCUUGUAGUUUAUAAAAUUUUUACUUUAGUACCUUAUAGUUUUAACUUUCUCAUUAAUUUAAUAAAAAAAUUAACCAAGGCGAUAACGAAAAAAAGAAAAAAACAAAACCACGUGAUACUAAAGUCAUACAAUUUAAAUCAUAAAAUACUAAAGUGAGAAAUACUAAACCACAGAAAUAGUAUUUGAAGUUUUUCUUUAAUAAAAAUGCAGGCCUC